UCGGAUUGUAGUCUGCAACUCGACUACAUGAAGCUGGAAUCGCUAGUAAUCGCGAAUCAGAAUGUCGCGGUGAAUACGUUCCCGGGUCUUGUACACACCGCCGUCACACCAUGGGAGUCAGUAACGCCCGAAGCCGGUGACCCAACCAAACGGAGGGAGCCGUCGAAGGUGGGACCGAUAACUGGGGUGAAGUCGUAACAAGGUAGC
rnacentral:rRNA from 1 species